GGAAAUGUUACAAAAUAUUAUUGAUGUGCCAUAACAAAAUAUCCCCCUUACACUGUUACAGAUAUAUAUAUCUGAGGCGCAGAGAUCGUCAAACUCAAGACACAGGCAUCGGCCCUCCAGCUAUUCCAGAGAGAAGACCAACUAACAGAUCAAGACACAGAUAACAGAGCAACAGAGAUGUAGGCCUACUGCCUGAAUCUGCAGUGACUUUUUACAUACCAGGACCUGACCUGCUGUAGAUUCAAACAACCCAGCC